AUUACAUAUAAUUAUAUUAUAUUACAUUAUAUUAUAUAUAUCAUAAUAUAUUAUAUAAUAUAUAUAAUAUUGUAUUAUUUAAUAAUAUAUAAUAUAUUAUAUAAUAAUAUAUAUUAUAUUAUAUAUUAAUAUAUAAUAUUAUAUAAUAUAAUAUUAUAUAAUGUUAUAUAAUAAUAUAUAAUAUAAUAUUAUAUAAUAUUAUAUAAUAAUAUAUGAUAUAUUAUAUAAUAAUAUAUGAUAUAUUAUAUAAUAAUAUAUAAUAUUAUAUUUAAUAAUAUAUAAUAUUAUAUAAUAAUAUAUAAUAUUAUAUAAUAAUAUAUAAUAUUAUACUAUAUAAUAAUAUAUAAUAUUAUACUAUAUAAUAAUAUAUAAUAUUAUACUAUAUAAUAUUAUAUAAUAUUAUAUUAUAUAAUAUUAUAUAAUAUUAUAUUAUGUAAUAAUAUGUAAUAUUAUAUUAUGUAAUAAUAUGUAAUAUUAU
rnacentral:lncRNA from 1 species